rnacentral:rRNA from 1 species
UACAGAGGGGGCAAGCGUUAUUCGGAAUUAUUGGGCGUAAAGGGCGCGUAGGCGGCUUUGCAAGUGGCGGGUGAAAUCCCUCGGCUUAACCGAGGAACUGCCUGCCAGACUGUGAGGCUUGAGACCGGGGAGAGGUGAGUGGAAUUCCCAGUGUAGCGGUGAAAUGCGUAGAUAUUGGGAGGAACACCAGUGGCGAAGGCGGCUCACUGGACCGGAACUGACGCUGAGGCGCGAAAAGCGUGGGGGAGCAAACAGGG